UACGAAGGGGGCUAGCGUUGCUCGGAAUGACUGGGCGUAAAGGGCGCGUAGGCGGCUGUGACAGUCAGAUGUGAAAUUCCUGGGCUCAACCUGGGGGCUGCAUUUGAUACGUGAUGGCUGGAGUGGGGAAGUGAGUGGAAUUCCGAGUGUAGAGGUGAAAUUCGUAGAUAUUCGGAAGAACACCAGUGGCGAAGGCGACUCACUGGACACGUAUUGACGCUGAGGUGCGAAAGCGUGGGGAGCAAACAGG
rnacentral:rRNA from 1 species